UACGGAGGAGGCAAGCGUUAUCCGGAAUUAUUGGGCGUAAAGCGUCCGUAGGUGGUUUAGUAAGUCUGCUGUUAAAGCGCGGGGCUUAACUCCGUAUCGGCAGUGGAAACUACUAGACUAGAGUGUGGUAGGGGUAGAGGGAAUUCCCAGUGUAGCGGUGAAAUGCGUAGAGAUCAGGAGGAACACCCGUGGCGAAGGCGGCCCUCUGGCUCGACCCUGACGCUGAGGCGCGAAAGCGUGGGGAGCGAACGGG
rnacentral:rRNA from 1 species